rnacentral:rRNA from 1 species
GACGAACGCUGGCGGCGUGCUUAACACAUGCAAGUCGAACGGAAAGGCCCUGCUUUUGUGGGGUGCUCGAGUGGCGAACGGGUGAGUAACACGUGAGUAACCUGCCCUUGACUUUGGGAUAACUUCAGGAAACUGGGGCUAAUACCGUAUAGGAUCUCCUGUUGCAUGGUGGGGGUUGGAAAGUUUCGGCGGUUGGGGAUGGACUCGCGGCUUAUCAGCUUGUUGGUGGGGGAGGGGCUUACCAAGGCUUUGACGGGUAGCCGGCCGGAGAGGGUGACCGGCCACAUUGGGACUGAGAUACGGAGCAGACUCCAACGGGAGGCAGAAGGGGGGAGUAUGGCACAAUGGGCGGAAGCCUGAUGCAGCAACGCCGCGUGCGGGAUGACGGCCUGCGGGGUGUAAACCGCUUUAGCUUGUGACGAAGCGGGAGUGACGGUACUGGGUAAAGAAGCACCGGCUAACUACGUG